rnacentral:rRNA from 1 species
UGAGUAAUGUCUGGGAAACUGCCUGAUGGAGGGGGAUAACUACUGGAAACGGUAGCUAAUACCGCAUAACGUCGCAAGACCAAAGAGGGGGACCUUCGGGCCUCUUGCCAUCAGAUGUGCCCAGAUGGGAUUAGCUAGUAGGUGGGGUAAUGGCUCACCUAGGCGACGAUCCCUAGCUGGUCUGAGAGGAUGACCAGCCACACUGGAACUGAGACACGGUCCAGACUCCUACCGGGAGGCAGCAGUGGGGAAUAUUGCACAAUGGGCGCAAGCCUGAUGCAGCCAUGCCGCGUGUGUGAAGAAGGCCUUCGGGUUGUAAAGCACUUUCAGCGAGGAGGAAGGUGGUGAACUUAAUACGUUCAUCCAUUUUACGUUACUCGCAGAAGAAGCACCGGCUAACUCCGUGCCAGCAGCCGCGGUAAUACGGAGGGUGCAAGCGUUAAUCGGAAUUACUGGGCGUAAAGCGCACGCAGGCGGUUUGUUAAGUCAGAUGUGAAAUCCCCGGG